rnacentral:rRNA from 1 species
UACGUAGGCAGCGAGCGUUGUUCGGAGUUACUGGGCGUAAAGAGUGCGUAGGCGGUUUUCUAAGUUUGGUGUGAAAUCUCCCGGCUUAACUGGGAGGGUGCGCCGAAGACUGGAAGGCUUGAGUAUGGGAGAGGUAAGCGGAAUUCCUGGUGUAGCGGUGAAAUGCGUAGAUAUCAGGAGGAACACCUGUGGUGUAGACGGCUCUCUGGACAGUAACUGACGCUGAGACACGAAAGCGUGGGUAGCAAACAGG